AGCGUCCAUGGUGUAGUGUUAGCAUUGCUGCCUUCCAAGCAGUAGGCACGGGUUCGAUUCCCGUUGGACGCAG
rnacentral:tRNA from 1 species